rnacentral:tRNA from 1 species
GGUCCCUUCGUCUAGUGGUCUAGGAUAGCGGGUUCUCAGCCCGUCGACAGGGGUUCGAAUCCCCUAGGGACUGCCA